rnacentral:rRNA from 1 species
GACGAACGCUGGCGGCGUGCUUAACACAUGCAAGUCGAACGGAAAGGCCUCUUUCGGGGGGUACUCGAGUGGCGAACGGGUGAGUAACACGUGAGUAACCUGCCCUUGACUUUGGGAUAACUUCAGGAAACUGGGGCUAAUACCGGAUAGGAGCUCCUGCUGCAUGGUGGGGGUUGGAAAGUUUCGGCGGUUGGGGAUGGACUCGCGGCUUAUCAGCUUGUUGGUGGGGUAGUGGCUUACCAAGGCUUUGACGGGUAGCCGGCCUGAGAGGGUGACCGGCCACAUUGGGACUGAGAUACGGCCCAGACUCCGACGGGAGGCAGCAGUGGGGAAUAUUGCACAAUGGGUGGAAGGCUGAUGCAGCAACGCCGUGUGCGGGAUGACGGUCUUCGGGUUGUAAACCGCUUUCGCUCAUGACGAAGCUUUGUGUGACGGUAGUGGGUAAAGAAGCACCGGCUAACUACGUG